UGAUCCAUUCAUCCUUCCAUCCCUCCUCAGCCUUCCUCUACUCUGAGGACCCAGUGAGGGUGGAGCUCAGUCAGAGAGCUGUUGAGGGACUGGUUAGGAAGAACACUUCUACAGCCAGAGAGGGGCAGUCAAGAAAUGGAACAGCAAGGCCACAGAACAUGACAUAAUCAGAGCUGUGGGAGACCACCUCAAGCUCCUGGUAGAGCCGGGGGUGGUGUUUACCACUCCACCACGCCUUCAGCAGGCUGAAAAAUUGGGAUUGAUACUGUUUUUCAUACUAAGACGGACAAAGAGUCUGUUCGUCAGUCACUGGGUUAAUUUGUUUUGCAUAACGUUCAAAUCAAAUCAAGCUUUAUUUACACAAAACAUUUCAGACAUGGAUGCAACACAAUGGCUUCACA